GUGAGAAGUGCAACUGCUACUGACCAUCUGCACUGGCAUCUAGUCAAGCGAUUGUCUGAGGCAAGAUUUUGGAGAUUCCCAUCUGAUAUUCUUCUAUUUGGUCUCUUGUACCCAUUGUCAUCCUGUACCACACAUAAUAAAGUUUAAGAAUGUCAAGCAA
rnacentral:sRNA from 1 species